rnacentral:rRNA from 1 species
UGGGGAAUAUUGGACAAUGGGCGAAAGCCUGAUCCAGCCAUGCCGCGUGUGUGAAGAAGGCCUUUUGGUUGUAAAGCACUUUAAGCGGGGAGGAAAAGCUUAUGGUUAAUACCCAUAAGCCCUGACGUUACCCACAGAAUAAGCACCGGCUAACUCUGUGCCAGCAGCCGCGGUAAUACAGAGGGUGCAAGCGUUAAUCGGAAUUACUGGGCGUAAAGCGCGCGUAGGUGGUUAUUUAAGUCAGAUGUGAAAGCCCCGGGCUUAACCUGGGAACUGCAUCUGAUACUGGAUAACUAGAGUAGGUGAGAGGGGAGUAGAAUUCCAGGUGUAGCGGUGAAAUGCGUAGAGAUCUGGAGGAAUACCGAUGGCGAAGGCAGCUCCCUGGCAUCAUACUGACACUGAGGUGCGAAAGCGUGGGUAGCAAACAGGAUUAGAUACCCUGGUAGUCCACGCCGUAAACGAUGUCUACCAGUCGUUGGGUCUUUUAAAGACUUAGUGACGCAGUUAACGCAAUAAGUAGACCGCCUGGGGAGUACGGCCGCAAGGUUA